rnacentral:lncRNA from 1 species
AUGUGCUGCACGUCUCUGUGUGUUUGUGUGUGUGUGUGUGUGUGGCAGGUAGAAUGUGUUGUUCUGUAUUCUGCACACACAUUCAAUCAGGGCGAGGGCUUUGUGGAUUCUAAUCUCACACUUUGUGAUCUCCAGAUAUACGGGAAGAGAGGUUUGUGCAAUAGAAUGUGAGGCAAGUGUUUGUCUCGAUGUGACGAGAGGUUCAGGAGGAGAUUUACAUUUUUCUAUUAGUGGAGAAAAACAGUGGGACGUGAUUCCGCAGGAUACGAUUAACAGAGAAAAGAAUAAAAAAUAAAAUCAGGCUCAUUUUCUGCGCUGGAUGUGGAUUUUGCAGCAGAAUGUUAUAGAAGUGUGAUGGAGGGAGAGGUCACUGACUUGCUUAGUGAAAGGGAAGCAAACACUCAGAUGUAGACUCAGGGACAGAAUAGAACAAACUUACACUCAUGCAUGUAAAGCUUGAAGAGUUAUUUGAUGCAUUGUCACAUUUCUCCUGAAGAGGCACUUCAUUGUCACCGGAAGUGUGUAAAUAAAAGCUGACAGACUGCGUCCUCGUGUAGGAAGUGUAGAGACGAGACGUCGGCGGCACACCGUCCCAUCUCUUAUUAAUCCACGUCCAGAUCCAGGUUAAUCUCGGUGCUCAGGUUGAGGUAGAAGAAGGCGUAGACACAGAGAACAAAGAACACGAUCGCUGCGAUGACCAGGAACGCAUCCUGAGAAGGAAACAGAGAGGCUUUUAUAAAAAUACACCGUGGUCGAACUGCCUCAUCCCUCGUCUGUCUUUCUGCACAGGAGCAGCUAGUCUUUGUGUGAAUGUGUUGCAUGGUUCUGUAAUUACUGUGCUUAUAUUAGUAUUGUUAUGUCUUUUGCCAUAAUAUCUAGUUUAUUAGCUUGUUUUGAAAAGUUAAAUAUUAAAAAAAAGGGAUAUUUGAGUGUGGUUUUAAAAAACAAAUGUAAAUCAUAGGACUGUCAAUCGUCACACUUCUAUUUCAGCCAUUAACGUGAAAAUCUGCUUUUAUACAAAGAUGUAACCCGAUCAAAAAACAUUAUAUGAAAACAAUUGUAUUAAACAUUUUCUUACAUUACAGCUGAUCACACCAUACAGGAAUUA